CCUACGGGAGGCAGCAGUGGGGAAUCUUCCGCAAUGGACGAAAGUCUGACGGAGCAACGCCGCGUGAACGAAGAAGGUCUUCGGAUUGUAAAGUUCUGUGAUUCGGGACGAAAGGGUUUGUGGUGAAUAAUCAUAGACAUUGACGGUACCGAAAAAGCAAGCCACGGCUAACUACGUGCCAGCAGCCGCGGUAAUACGUAGGUGGCAAGCGUUGUCCGGAAUUAUUGGGCGUAAAGCGCGCGCAGGCGGUUUCUUAAGUCCAUCUUAAAAGCGUGGGGCUCAACCCCAUGAGGGGAUGGAAACUGGGAAGCUGGAGUAUCGGAGAGGAAAGUGGAAUUCCUAGUGUAGCGGUGAAAUGCGUAGAGAUUAGGAAGAACACCGGUGGCGAAGGCGACUUUCUAGACGAAAACUGACGCUGAGGCGCGAAAGCGUGGGGAGCAAACAGGAUUAGAUACCCUGGUAGUCC
rnacentral:rRNA from 1 species